ensembl:lncRNA
GAUUUCCAUAACGUUUUCGUUAGUUAAUUAACAUAUUGUCAUUUGGCCUUCCCCCUGAGCUCUUGCGAAAUGGUUCAGCCGCAACGCACGAUGCGUUGAAUCGAACAGCAUCCGAAAUGUGAGAUGCUGGCACUGGCAGCAGGUGUACAGAGCGGCUGGGCUGGCUGAGGUCAGGUCUUAACCACAUGAUGGUGAGCUGGUGGUGACAGCUACAGAAAUGAAGUCAGGUUGGCAAAAACUGAAGGAAAGACGGGAGAAAGAGGAGAGGGCCAAAAGAGGCAGGCAACUGGUCACUCAAUUAUUCGCCAAUAAAGAAGGAGGAGGACAAGAUCCGCCCACGGCCACCACGACUGGAUUCCAUUUCGGAGAAGGAGAUGAGGCUGUAUCUGCCAUCACUCCCAUUGAUGCAGAUGAAGCAUUUACUGAUGACCUGGAGCCUGUGCCUUCAUCACGCAGCGACAUCACUGAUCAGAACCUGCUUUUCCAGAUGCAACCAAAGUCCAAAAAACAUAGGGGCACAUCCGAGAUUGUGACUGCACAAGGUUCAACAAAAUCCCAUCGCACUCAUUCAACUCCAAAAGACAAUACAAAAGCCCCCAUCGGCCAGGGGCAGGAUACUGAUUCAAGUGAUGAUGAUGUUUU